UGAAUGUAAUGCUCCUCGUGGGCGAAAAGAAAUACAACUUUCAACAACGGAUCUCUUGGCUCUCGCAUCGAUGAAGAACGCAGCGAAAUGCGAUAAGUAAUGUGAAUUGCAGAAUUCAGUGAAUCAUCGAAUCUUUGAACGCACCUUG
rnacentral:rRNA from 1 species